UAAAAAAAAAGUAAAAAGGAAAAGGUAUUCUAAAGAAAAAUAGAGGGCCGUUUUCAUUUUAAAAUGUAAAAAACGAUACAAAUAUACAAAUACUAAAUAAAUAAACUAAAAGAAACUAUCAAAAUAGAAAUAAUGUUCCAAUUUUUUUCUUUUUAUUUUCUAGUAAUUUCCGUAGUGAUUCCAAGAAAGUUUUUGAAUGAAGUUAUACAACAUAGUUUUUUUAAUUAAUUUUUAUUAAUAUUAUUAAUAUUUUUUAUUUUUUAUUUAUUUAUUAAUAUUUAUUUAAUUAUUUAAUAAAUUAAUAUUUAAUUAUUGUAAUAUUAGUUUUCUAUUUUAUUCUAUAAUUGUCUAAGGAAUCUCUCGAUUCGGAAUCAAGAGAAUAUAAGCGGAUGUCAUAGAUGAUAAAUUGAUUUCUUUCUCUACCUAUAUCAUAUCACUCUAUUUUUUGAGUGCUGUCUAUAAUAUAUAAUGAUAAUGAUUGAUAAAUAAAAAUAAAUAAAAAGUGCUCAAUUGAACUUUUUCUUUCAAUUGGUAUUUUUGUUCAUCUUCGUAUCUUUUAUCUUUCAAAAAAUCGAACUUAAGAAAGUACUUUUGCUUUACAAGUAUAUGUAUAAAAAGGUUUUUUAGUUUCUAUAUGCUUACUAUAACUAGUUAUUUCAGUUUUCUACUAGUGGCUUUAACUAUAACCUCAGUUCUAUUUAUUGGUCUGAGCAAGAUACGACUUAUUUGAAAUAAAUUGAAUGAACAAUUUAUAAAAAGAAAAGAAAAUUUUUCGGCAGUAUUCCAUCUAUUCUCUAGUUCUUUACCGUGUUAAUUUUCAAUUCUUGUUUAUUGAAAUUUUUCUUAUUGAGAUAUUGCUUAUUGAGAUUUAUGGGCGAUAUGGAUUAAUAUUUAAGGAUAGAUAUUACCUUUCUUUCACACCCCCCACACCCCUUUUUUUUUCAAAUAAAUUGAAAUGAUUGAAGUUUUUCUAUUUGGAAUUGUCUUAGGUCUAAUUCCUAUUACUUUGGCCGGAUUAUUCAUAACUGCAUAUUAACAAUACAAGCGUGGUGAUCAGUUGGACCUUUAAUUAAUUAAUUAACACCUUUUUUUUUUUUUACCUCUUCUUUUCCUUAAUCCACAGGAGGUCAAAUUCAGAUUGCUCUUCUAUUUUUUCUGUAUAAAAUUUGACUUAACAAAACAAGAAUAGAAUCACGCUCUGUAGGAUUUGAACCUACGACAUAGGGUUUUGGAGACCCACGUUCUACCGAACUGAACUAAGAGCGCUUUCUUAUCCCAAUCACAAAAAAAUCGGACUGUAAGUAAAAAGAUUCUUUUUUUAACUACUCCAAUAUAUCUUGAGUGCCUAUACUAUCAUAUAUAAUAUGAUAAAAAUAAAAGAUUAAGUAUGGCCAAGUUUAAUUGAUCUCAAUUGAUCCCUCGUUAUUACUCAGAGACGAAGUAAUAGGUAAGGAUGACAGGAUUUGAACCCGUGACAUUUUGUACCCAAAACAAACGCGCUCCUUUCAAUUGGUUUACAAUGUUAUUGUAAAGAAUACCCAUUUUGUUUUUCACAUACUUAUUUCAUUUUCUCCAUUGAUAUACUUUUUCUUUUUGAUCUCAUAUCUUAUAUUAUAUUCAUAUAUUAUAUAAUAAUAUCGCUUAUUAUAUCUUAUUAUAUAAUGAUAUACUUACGUAAUAAUAAAAUAUAAUGAUAAACUUACGUACUAAUAAACUUACAUAAAUUUCGUGAAUGCUCGAGAGGACAUUUUUUCUUUGUUUAAGAAAAGGAAAAUCUUAUCUAGCAAAUUGUUGUACAUUUUAGUUUGAAUUAGAGAUCCUACUUACAAAACAAAUGCAAGUGUCCUUUAACUACAUAUACGUCUGAUUAUAUAUGUAUAAUGAUUAUAUAUUAUUACAAUAAAAUAAACAUUAUUUAUUACAAUAACAAUAAAGAAUAAAGAAGGAGGGUUUUAAAUGCGAGAUCUAAAAACAUAUCUAUCUGUGGCACCGGUAAUAAGUACUAUAUGGUUUGCGUCUUUAGCAGGUCUAUUUAUUGAGAUCAAUCGUUUUUUCCCGGAUACGUUGACAUUCCCCUUUUUUUCAUUCUAGUUAUUAACGUGCGCGUGCGGGGGGUGAAGAAGAUUAGAGAUACAAUUAAAUAUUUGUGACUACUGCCCCCUUCCUCUUUUUUUAUUUAAUUAGAAUAAGUUAGAAAAGAAAAAAGAAUAAAAGUGGAUUCAACCGCAGCAAAAUAAAAUUCGGAACUUGGGGCUCCAGCUUCAAGUAAAGUAAACUAACUUCAAUUAAAUUAUUAAAUUAGGAUAAGAGAAGGGAAGUAGAAAUUUGAUUAUUGCAACAAUAUUAUACAAGAUGCUUAAAUGAAAUAUUGUACUGUGAUUCUAAUCUAAACUUAUAAUCUAAAUAUAGUUUAGAAUCUUUGUAUUACUUAUUAUUCCUAUAUUAGUUGCAAUGAAAUCUUUCAAAAUUGGAUUUCGAGUUAGCAACUUAUAUUUUUUUCGUUCCUUUCUUCUUCACUUCGGAUCGAAAAAUCGAAGAGUUGAGUGAAUAAAAACCCUAAGGAGGUUCAUGGCCAAGGGUAAAGAUGUCCAAGUAAGGAUCAUUUUAGAAUGUACUAGUUGUGUUCAAAACAGUUUUAAUAAAAAAUCAACAGGUAUUUCCAGAUAUAUUACUCAAAAGAAUCGACAUAAUAUGCCUAGUCGAUUGGAAUUAAGAAAAUUAUGUCCCUAUUGUUACAAACAUACAAUUCACGGAGAGAUAAAGAAAUAGACGGAACUGGUCGCCUGUGUGUUACCUUUACAAGAAAGAUGAAAAAAUGACAUAAAUGACAUAUUAAUAUAUAAUAUGUUAUGUUAAUAUAUUGUUAAUAUAUAUUAACAUUAACAUAUAUUAAAAUUAUAUAUAUAUAUAUAUAUAUUUAAAUAUAAAAUAAACAAGCAAAAUCCUAUUUCUUAAUUCUAAAUCAUUUUUGAUCCAAUUGAACGAAAUAGGAUUUUCGAAAUAAGGAAUAAACAAACCAUGGAUAAAUCCAAACGGCCUUUUCUUAAGUCCAAGUGAUCUUUUCGUAGGCGUUUGCCCCCGAUCCAAUCGGGGGAUCGAAUUGAUUAUAGAAACAUGAGUUUAAUUAGUCGAUUUAUUAGUGGACAGGGAAAAAUAUUAUCUAGAUGGGUGAAUAUAUUGAGUUUAAAACAACAACGAUUAAUUACUAUUGCUAUAAAACAAGCUCAUAUUUUAUCUUCGUUACCUUUUCUUAAUAAUGAAAAACAAUUUGAAAAAAAGCGAGCUGGUCACUAUAACUACUGAUCUUAGAACCAGAAAAAUAGGCUUACUCCUCAAUUGAAUCAAAAUUCAAAUCCGAAUAUAAUUUAAACCUAGAUUAAUGUUUUGUUCAAAAAAUCCGAAAAUCAAAAUUUGAGUGUCGUGUCAUAAGAAAAAAAAUAAGUUGGGUAAGAAGAAAUAUUUUUUUUAUUGAAUGUUUUUGUUCAGUUUGACUACUUUAUACUUGAUUAUAUUAUCAUCAUAUUUUAUCAUACUAAUUUCUAUUCUACCUUCCCGGAAUUCAUUCUUCAAGGAAUUCCAUGUAAAAUAUUUCAUAGAUUCUUUCCAAUUUCCUUAUUUUAUAAUGUCAUUGGAAAUCAUAUAAAGGCAAUUCCUAUUUAAUAUAGCUAUUUGUGCAAGUAUUUUACGAUUAAGAAGUAACUGUCUCUUGUACAGAUUAUUUAUUAAUCUACUAUAACUAGAGGAUACCCUAUUCUCAUGAAUUACUGCAUUUAUCUGAGUGACCCACAAACGACAAAAAUUUCUUUUUUGCCUAUCUCUAUCCCGAUGGGCCAAAGCCAAAGCUCUUAUUUUUUGUUGAAUAAUAGUUCGAGUAAGUCUUGAAUGAGCCCCGUGAAAGCUUGAUGCGAAUAAACGAAUUUUUGUUCUACGCCUCCGAGCUAUAUAUCCUCGUCUAGUUCUGGUCGUUGAAUAAACAAAACUUGGAUAAAUAACUAGUUGAUUUCCUUUCUUUCAGUUAUUCUUUUCCCCUUUUCUAUAAUAACAAAACGGAUUCUUCCAGUGUAUAAAAUAAUAAUUCCAACCGCUUUUGCUACUAUAACCUUCCCAACCACGAUUUUUUCUUUCGAGGCAUUUCACCUCGAAAUAAGAAACUUUAUUGAUAUUAGGUAUCAAACAAAAUUAUAAUAAAAAAUUAGUAAAUAAAAAUAUAGAAAUAGAUAAAUAAAUAAUAGAAAUAAUAGUGGGUUCCAUCGUUUCUAUGGUUACUUCUUAAACGGUGAGGUCUUCUCUAUACACCGGAGCCCCUCCUUAUUUAAUCAUUUAAUAUAAUAAAUAUUUAAUCAUUUAAUCAAUGCUAUUGUUAACAUGUACAUUUCACACUUUUCGGCUUUACCCAUGAAUUAUCUAGUAAUAGGUCUUUCAUAAGGAGAUCCGUCUAUACAGUAACGGUAUUUAAUUAUGAGGAUUUUCUAAUUAGUUGACCAUGUUAGUCCGUUCUUGCAAGAGUAGGGAUAUAAUUUUUGGCCUUUUAAUUUAAAUAAGAUUAAUAAGAUUUACCCCGCUUAAAGGAUAAUCAUUUGUUACCAAUGGGAAACUCUUUCUCGUUUUAAAUUGAAAAUUGAGGUUGCAGCAAUGAAACCGUAAAUUUGACACACAAUAGACGAAUAUGAUAGAUCAUUUUUUUUUUAGAUAAUGAAGGGGAGUCUUCUAUUCUAUCUUAUUCAUCCAUACUGAUCAUAGAUAUUGAAAAAAGUUUUCUUUUGUCCAAGUUCACGAUCUAAACAAGUCACACAUACACCCUAGUACAUGUUCCUCAGCGCUGAGGACAUCCUCCGAGAGCGGGGGAUUUGGUGAUAUUUUUGAUUGGCUGUCUUGUGUUUCUAAUAAGUUGUUUAAUAGUUGGCAUGUUGAAUCAUAUGCAUAAUGGGCUGGUUUAGAUCGAUCCUAACCGGAUGAUUAUGAAUUUUUUCUAUAUUAAUAUUUUAUUAUUAAAUAAUUAUUAAAUAAUUAAUAGAAUAUUAAAGAAUACUUAAUUGAAAUUGAAAGUCUGGUAAGAAAAAAAUAUUCAAUCAUGAUUUACGUGAGAUUUCUGCUAUGUCUUAUGCAACUGCUACAAGAUCAACAAUUCCAUGAGCUUGGGCUUCUGCUGCUGACAUAAAAACAUCUCUUUCCAUGUCUUCGGAUACAACCCAUAAAGGUUUUCCCAUUCUUUGUGCAUAAAUCCUUGUGAGGAUUUCAUGUAGUUUUAGUAGUUCUUCUGCUUCCAGGACAAAUUCUCCUAUUUGGGCCUCAUAAAAACCAGCAAUAGGUUGAUGAAUCAUUACCCUGAUGAUAUAAGAAAAAAAUGGCUAAUCUAUCUCGCAUAAUAAAUAAAAAGAUGACGAGAAGAGAUAAAGAAUAAUAAGAAAAAAAAGAUAGAAUUGAACAACCGUACAGGCAUUAUUUACGCAUUACAUACGGCUCCACAAUGGAAUUCACUUUUACUUACCUUUUUUUUAUCGAAUAAAAACAUAGAGUUUAUUAGGUUUAAAUCAGUAAAUGAUCCAAUAACCACCCUUUCCUUAUCUUUGGAGGAGUUAAAAAAUAAAACAAAAUACUAUGGUGGUCUCGUUGCUUUAUUUCAUCAGUGAUUUAGCAAUCCCAAAGUUUUUUUUUAUUUGAAAAAUAAAUCUCUUUUCGUACUCUUUUAUUUUUUUUAACAUAAAUAAUGUUAACAGCCCUCCGGUGUGAAAACAAAAAAGUUUGUGACGCUGAAAUAGGCCCCUGAUAGAAUAAAAUCAGAAAUACCCUUACUUAAUAUCUCAUACUACUCUUUCGAUACAUAAUCUAAUGUUUAAAAUAACAAUUCUUAUAUCUAUAUCGAAUUCGAACUGCCAUGCUAUUAUUACUUAAUAUUUAUAUUUCAAUAUUUCAUAUGGCGAAGGCAUAGUUUUCUUGUUUCUUUCAAAUAAAAACCCAUUGGCGCCAAGCAUGAGGGAAUGCUAAACGUUAGGUAAUUUUUCCUCCAACUAGGAUAAAAGAUGCCAUUGAAGCAGCUAAUCCCAUGCAUACUGUUUGUACAUCUGGUCACACAAAUUGCAUAGUAUCAUAAAUAGCUAUUCCGGGUAUUACCCAUUCGCCAUGAGAGUUUAUAAACAAAUACAAAUCUUUAGUCUCGCUCUCUAUACUGAGAUAUACCAUAAGACCAAUAAGUUGAUUCGAGAUCUCGCUAUCAACAUCUUGACCUAAAAAAAGUAAUCUUUCUCGAUAAAGUCAGUUGAUUAAGAUGAAAUUCUAUCUUCUAGGAGCCGUACGUGCACCUUUUGAUGCAUACGGUUCAACAAAAAUCGAUGAAAAUAAAAUAAAGAAUCAAUGUGUAGAUUCCAACCUUCCUUUUUUGAUAGUGAGUACUUUUUAACUUAACUCUUUUUUUCUAAUUUAUAAUGCUAAUGAAAGGGCUUUUCUUCCAAUUUUCAAGAAAGAUGAGUUUUAACCUGUUUACCUAUAAAAUAAAAAAAAAUUUCCCUAUAAAGAUAAAAGGAUUAUUAAACUUAUCAAACAAACUUCUCAUUGAUGUAUUUUUUCAUCGAGAUUCAAUUCAAAUCACGAUGGCAUUAUCUUGUUCCUGAAUGGGUUUCUUCAAUUCUUUUAGGUUUGUGCUCUACUCUGAGUAAAGAUUUCCUCGAUUUUUAUUUGCACAUAUAGAGCAAAUGCCCCAAUACCGCGUCUUUUUGUUACAACUUCCUUUUAUUUAUUUAAUUCAUUUCACGUCUUCUGCCAAAUAUUUGACAUAUUCAUUAUUAUAUUAUUCGAUUGAGUAUGAUUAGCAGUUUGAAAUUAUUUCAACUUCAUAAUUAUUUCAACUUCAUAAAUAGAAUAUGAUACAAGCAGUAAUCGUAAUAGAUAUAUUACCAAUUGGGUUCUUUUAAACGGAGCCUGGAUACUUCAUUUUUUUGGUCCAAACAAGCCAACCAUAAAUUAUUCUAAUUGAUAUAUAUAAUAUUAAUCUGAGUACCUCAAAAGCAUAGAUUUAAUUGGACUUCAUUGCAUUUCAUGCUCCAAAUUUUGGAUGAUUUAAUCAAUCUUUCUUGGGCGAAACCAAGGAUAUCUCAAUCGGGAGAGAGAACGAGGGAAUCCCGUAUGACCCAAUAUAUCUGACAAGUCGCAUUAUACGUCAAUCCAAAUGGAAUCGUCUUCCCCAGGAUUUCGAAAAGGGACUUUUGGAACACCAAUAGGCAUUAAAUGACAGAAAAAUUUUAAGUACUCUAUUUCACUUUGAUGUGAAAACGUAACAAUGAAUUUAUUGUCUUAAUAAUAAUAACCUUUAUAAUAUUUUAUACAUGGAAUCAAUAAGUUUAUAUUUAUAUAUAUAUAUAAUAUAUAAAGACAAGGUAUGUUCGUUAUACCAUUCAUGACUCGUUUAGGAAUAACCAAUUCAUUGGGUGGUUGAAGUAUCACAGGAGGAAUUAUAACAAAUUCGGGUAUUUAGAGUUAUGAAGGCAUGGCUGGGGCGCAUAUUGUGUUUUCUGGCUUGUGUUUCUUGGCAACUAUUUAGCAUUGGGUGUAUUGGGAUCUAGAAUAUUUUAUGAUGAAUGUACAGGAAAACCUUCUUUGGAUUUGCCAAAGAUCUUUGGAAUCCAUUUAUAUCUCUCAGGGGUGGCUUGCUUUGGGUUUGGUGCUUUUCAUGUAACUGGGUUGUAUGGUCCUGGAAUAUGGGUAUCCGAUCCUCAUGGACUAACUGGAAAGGUACAACCUGUAAGUCUAGCAUAGGGUGUGGAAGGGUUUGAUCCUUUUGUUCUAAGAGGAAUAACCUCUCAUCAUAUUGCAGUGGGUACAUUGGGUAUAUUAGUGGGCCUAUUCCAUCUUAGUGUGCGUCCACCCCAAUGUUUAUACAAUGGAUUACGUAUGAGAAAUAUUGAAACUGUCCUUUCCAGUAGUAUCGCUGUUGUCUUUUUUGCAGCUUUUGUUGUUGCUGGAACUAUGUGGUAUGGUUCAGCAACUACUCCGAUUGAAUUAUUUGGUCCCACUCGUUAUCAAUGGGAUCAAGGAUACUUCCAGCAAGAAAUAUAUCGAAGAGUUAGUGCUGGGUUGGCCGGCAAAAGGUGGAUUGUUCAAAGUAGGCUCAAUGGACAACGAAGAUGGAAUAGCUGUUGGGUGGUUAGGACAUCCUAUCUUUAGAGAUAAAGAAGAGCGUGAGCUUUUUGUACGUCGUAUGCCUACUUUUUUUGAAACAUUUCCAGUUGUUUUGGUAGACGGAGAUGGAAUUGUUAGAGCCGAUGUUCCUUUUCGAAGGGUAGAGUCAAAGUAUAGUGUCGAACAAGUAGGUGUAAUCAUUGAGUUCUAUAGUGGCGAACUAAAUGGAGUCAGUUAUAGUGAUCCUGCUACUGUGAAAAAAUAUGCUAGACGCGCUCAAUUGGGUGAAAGUUUUGAAUUAGAUCGCGCUACUUUGAAAUCCGAUGGUAUUUUCGUAGCAGUCCAAGGGGUUGGUUUACUUUUGGACAUGCUUCGUUCGCUCUGCUCUCUUUUUUCGGACACAUUUGGCAUGGUGCUCGAACUUUGUUCAGAGAUGUUUUUGCUGGCAUUGAUCCAGAUUUAGAUGUUCAAGUGGAAUUUGGAGCAUUCCAAAAAAUUGGAGAUCCAACUAUAAGAAGACAGGUAGUCUGAUACAAUAUUUGAUAUCUCUUACUUUCUGCCUCUAUUCUAUUUUAUUUUUGUAAUUUGACACAAGGUACUAGAGAUAUCUGAAUUUGAAUUGCCGUCCUUUCUUUGAAUCUUGUUCUUUUUUUAUCCGGGAGACGAUUUCAAAUAAAUAAGUAUGGAAGCUAUAAUUGUAAACCACGAUUGAAUUUAUGGAAGUAUUGGUUUAUAAAUUCCUUUUAGUCUCAACUUUAGAAAUCAUUUUUUUCGCUAUCUUUUUUCGCGAACCACCUAAAGUUCCAACUAAAAAGAUAAAAUAAUUUUCCGUUAUCUUAAUUAAAGUAAAAAGCCUCCCAAUAUUGGGAGGCUCUUUACUUCAACUAGUCCCCGUGUUCCUCGAAUGGAUAUCUUAGUUGUUGAGAGGGUUGCCCAAAAGCAGUAUAUAAGGCAUACCCAGUAAAAGUUACAAGUAAACCAGAUAUAAAGAUGGCGACUAGGGUUGCUGUUUCCAUUAUUAUAUAAUUUAAUUUCAAGACCACAAUGGAUCUAUGAUAAGAUCAUUUAUUUAUAACGGAAUGGUAUACAAAGUCAACAGAUCUCAAUUAAUACAAAUAGGAUUUAUGGCUACACAAAGUGUAGAGAGUAGUUCUAGAUCUGGUCCAAGACGAACUGUUGUAGGGGAUUUAUUAAAACCAUUGAAUUCGGAAUAUGGUAAAGUAGCUCCCUGGAUGGGUAACUACUCCUUUGAUGGUGUCGCAAUGGCUCUAUUUGUGGUAUUCCUAUCUAUUAUUUUGGAGAUUUAUAAUUCUUUUGUUUUACUAGACGGAAUCUCAAUGAAUUAGAUUUACAAUAACCGCUAAGUCCUAGUUUUUCAAUACAAAAGAAGCAUUUUGGCUUGGUCUCAGAUUUUUGAUUCUAUUUUGGUAGUUCGAUCGUGAAAUUUCUUUCUUUCUGUAUUUUUGGAAUAUGAGUGUGCGACUUGUUAUAAUUGAUCCUAUUGAUAGUACAGAGAGUGGGCCUGUCGUCUUGAUAGAGAUGAUUUUUUACCUCGUCAGGUAUUUAUUUUAGUAUCCGGAGCACGGAAUAUAUGAAAUAGAUUAUGAAGUAUUAGAACUGUGAUUCAUACUUAAUAUUCAGAUCCCGUGACCAGAUUCCAAAAAAUUUCAAAGAAUUAGAAGGUAUAAAUUGAAAGAUUUUUCCUCCUCUUUUUCUAUGUUUGAUCAAAGGACAAACCUUUCUUUGAAUUUUUACUCAUUAUAUUUAUUCAGUGAAUAAGUGAUGGUAAAUGGUUCUUACUCAGGGAAUCUUUGGACUUAGUAUGAAGUUUUUAUUAAGUCAUCAUGGUUCUAAUAUGAAUCUGAGGUUUCAAUCGAUUUAUAGGAUCUUAACAAGAAAAUUCCUAUCAAUAAUAAUGAAAACAACAGUAAGGCUGCAUUACAUACAAAAAAAAUACGAAAAAAAUGGGUAAAUAGAAGAUUCAAGAGGCAUGUAAUAAUCAACACCAAGAGAUGAAUGAGCCAACUUGAUAUUUUGGCAUUAUAACCAUAAAGAAGAGUUUUUAAAGAAGAGUUUUUGGAUUUUUCUUUUUUCGUAACAUCAUCUUCAAAGAAAACUGUUGAAUCAUAGGAUUAAGAAGUUUCUAUUCUAUUACCCAUAUCCAUUUCAACUAGUAUUUUGGUGGUUCCGUUUGAGCCGUACGAGAUGAAAUUUUCAUAUACGGUUCUCGGAGGGGGAGGCCCUCUGGUUUACCUAUCUCAAUAAAGUUUAUGAUUGGUUCAAAGAACGUCUCGAGAUUCGAGCGAUUGCAGAUGAUAUAACUAGUAAAUAUGUUCCUCCCCACGUCAACAUAUUUUAUUGUUUAGGAGGAAUUACGCUUACUUAUUUUUUAGUACAAGUAGCUACGGGGUUUGCUAUGACUUUUUACUACCGUCCGACCGUUAUUGAGGCUUUUGCUUUUGUUCAAUACAUAAUGACUGAAGCUAACUUUGGUUGGUUAAUUCGAUCAUUUCAUCGAUGGUCGGCAAGUAUGAUGGUUUUAAUGAUGGUCCUGCACGUAUUUCGUGUGUAUCUCACUGGUGGCUUUAAAAAACCUCGUGAAUUGACUUGGGUUACAGGUGUGGUUCUUGCUGUAUUGACCGCAUCUUUUGGUGUAACUGGUUAUUCCUUGCCUUGGGACUAGAUUGGUUAUUGGGCAGUAAAAAUUGUAACAGGCGUGCCAAAAGCUAUUCCUACAAUAAGAUCGUCUUUGGUAGAGUUAUUACGUGGAAGUGCUAGUGUAGGACGAUCCAUUUUGACUUGUUUUUAUAGUUUACACACUUUUGUAUUACCUUUUCUUACUGUCGUAUUUAUGUUAAUGCACUUUCCAAUGAUACGUAAGCAAGGUAUUUCAGGCCCUUUAUAGUAUAGAGAAUAUAGAUUAUAAAUAUUUGUAACCAACCAUUGAUCGCUUUGGGGAGGAAGAAUAGUAUUUCAUUGCUAUAAAUAUGGAUUACUGAAAAGAAUAAGACAUGUAUUUGGAUAUUUCCCUUCAACACCAAUUUUUUUUUAUUUUACAUGAAUAGUUGAAGCGAAUUCUCCUAAGAGAAAAAUGGAUUAUGGGAGUGUGUGACUUGGACUAUUGAUUUGGCCGCGCGGAUAUAUGCUCUUAUCCGCCACAUUGGAAUUAAUAACCAAAUGUGUCUUUGUUCCAACCACUGCGUGUGCCCCAUACAGAGGAUAGGCUGGUUCACUUGAAGAGAAUCUUUUCUAUGAUAAGAUCCAAUCAUGUUGUGCAUGAACAGGCUCCGUAAAACCAAGUAGAAUAAGCGAUAUGGUAGAAUCUAUAUUCUAUUUUACCUAUUUUAUUUAUAUGUUUUAUUUUAUUUAUUUCCUUUACUUUAUUACUUAAUACUUUAUAGAUUACUUAAUACUUUAUAGUAUCAAAAUGCAGUCAUUUCCUCUGCAUUGAUCCGAUUUAUGAUACUAUCGGAGUGAAAUGAAAUAAGGGAUCUAAAGAAUGACAUAGGCAAAACUAUAUUGAUAACAAGUAAAUCCUUUGUAUGUAAAAAGUCUCGAUAUUUUUCUGAGAUAAAGGCCAAUCGAAAGGUCUGAGACGAGCCAAAAAGCACUUAAUCAUGAUCACCUUUUAGGCCUACUUGGGUAUUGAGCAUUUACCUAUAAGAAUGAAUUCCUUGCAAUGGAUAAUUAAUUGCAACUAUGGGAAAAGGAAUCCAGUCAAUUUUUUAUUACAUAAUAUUACAUAAAAUCAUUCAUAUAUGAGUAGACAUGGCUAACAUUUUACAUUUUAUAAGAUCUAUAAAUACAAGAUUUUUUUUUAUAUGGAUCUAUUUGAUUCGUUUGAUUCUUGCUCGAGCUGGAUGAUGAAAAAUUAUCAUGUUCGGUUCCUUCAGAGGAUGGAUUUAUAAGAAUUCACCUAUCCCAAUAACAAAAAAACCUAACUUGAAUGAUCCUGUAUUAAGGACUAAGGCUAAAGGAAUGGGUCAUAAUUAUUACGGAGAACCCGCAUGGCCCAAUGAUCUUUUAUAUAUUUUUCCGAUAGUAAUUCUAGGUACUAUUGCAUGCAAUGUAGGAUUAGCGGUUCUAGAUCCAUUAAUGAUUGGUGAACCUGCGGAUCCAUUUGCAACUCCUUUGGAAAUAAUGCUUGAAUGGUAUUUCUUUCCUGUAUUUCAAAUACUUCGUACAAUACCCAAUAAGUUAUUGGGUGUUCUUUUAAUGGUUUCAGUACCUGCAAGAUUAUUAACAGUACCCUUUUUGGAGAAUGUUAAUAAAUUCCAAAAUCCAUUUCGUCGUCCAGUUGCGACAACCGUCUUUUUGGUUGGUACUGCAGUAGCCCUUUGGUUAGGUAUUGGAGCAACAUUGCCUAUUGAUAAAUCCCUAACUUUAGGUCUUUUUUAAAUUGAUUCAAUUGUAAAAUAAAAUAUCAUGACGUGUAUGUCUAUCUAGGGAAUAGUCGCUUCAAAGUGAAUUCUCCCUAGAUAACAUCUAUCGGAUUUAUAUUUUAUUCUUUGGUUAAAAAAAUUAAAUUACAAAAUUUUUUCUAUUUCUAGAAUACCCAAUAUAUGUUUUACAUAAUCUAUACGAAAAUGUUCAAUUUUCAUAAGAUCCUCUUGACUCUUAUUCAAAAGGUCCGAUAAUGUAUGUAUAUUAGAUCUUUUGAGGCAAUUAUAGAUCUUAGGAGUCAAUUCUGAUUGGUCAAUAAAAACAUAUUUUAAUGUUAUUUCGUUUUGAUUUUUUCUUAAUUUAGUCAACCUAUCAUAAAAGGUAAAAAGAGGUAAAGUAACCUUGUCUUGAUUUUUUUCUAAAUGGAAGUUUUCUUCUUCUGCAUGUAGAAAAGGAAUAAAUAAAUCAAUCAAAUUCUGGGAGGCUUCAUGAAGUGCUUCUUUAGGAGUUAAACUCCCAUUUGUCCAUAUUUCGAGAAAAAGUAUCUCUUGCUUUUUAUUCGCAUUUCCAUAAGAAUGAAUACUGUGAUUCGCAUUUCGAACAGGUAUAAAUACAGCAUCUAUAGGAUAACUUCCAUCGUGAAAGUUAUUUGUCGGUUUUAUACGAUAGCCGCAAUUUCUCUCGAUUUGUAAUCCAAUACACAAAUCAAUUGGUUCCAUUAGGCUAGCGAUAUGCUGUGUAUUAUCAAUGAUUUCUACAAAAGGCGGUAAAAUGAUGUCUUGAGCAGUUAUAUAUCCAGGACCCUUGACACAAAUAGACGCGUCACAAGUUCCAUACAAAUUACUUCUCAAUAAAAUUUCUUUCAAAUUCAUUAAAAUUUCAUGUAUUGAUUCUUGAAUACCUGCUAUAGUCGAGAAUUCGUGUGGUAUUUUCUCAGAUUUUGCACGUGUGAUACAUGUUCCUUCGAUUUCUCCAAGCAAAGCUCUUCGUGUCGCAAUGCCUAUUGUGUCGGCUUGGCCUUUCAUAAGUGGUGACAGAAUAAAGCGUCCAUAAAAAAGACGCUUAUUAUCAGUUCUUGAUUCAACACAUUUACACUACAGUGUUCGAGUAGAUAUUGUUACUUUCUCUCGAAUCAUAAUAAUAUUGAAAUCAUUGAAUUAUUUAUUUCUCUUGUCUCUUGAAAUCUCUUCAAUAUUUAUAUUUACACACGCCUUCUUUUAGGGGGCCUACAACCAUUAUGUGCCAUAGGGGUUACAUCCCGGACGAAGCUUAAUAAUAUACCACUUCUACGAAUAGCUCUUAAUGCUGCAUCUCGCCCGAGACCAGGACCUUUUAUCAUGACUUCUGCCCGUUGCAUACCUUGAUCCACUAUUGUUCGAAUAGCAUUUCUUGCUGCAGUUUGAGCUGCAAAUGGCAUUCCUCUUCUUGUGCCCCUGAAUCCACAAGUGCCGACGGAGGACCAAGAAAUCACUCAACCCCGUACAUCUGUAAUGGUCAUAUUAGUAUUGUUGAAACUUGCUUGAACAUAAAUAACUCCUUUUGGUAUUUUAUGCGCACUCUUACGUGAACCAAUACGUCCAUUCCUACGUGAACCAUUUCUUGGUAAAGGUUUUGCCAUAUUUUAUUAUCUCAUAAAUAUAAGUCAGAGGUCUAUGGAUAUAUCCAUUUCAUGUCAAAAUAGAUCCUUUUUUUAUUUAUACAUUUUUUUAUUUGUACAUCAAAUCCUUUAGAGCAUUUUUGCUUAGCAAGAUUAUCCUUGUCUUUGUUUAUGUCUCGGGUUAAAGCAAAUUACUAUAAUUCGCUCCCGUCUACGUAUCAGUCGACAUUUUUCACAAAUUUUAUAAACAGAAGCUCUUAUUUUCAUAUUUGCCGUCCCUUAAAUUUUGAAUAUACAUACUUUUUUGAAGAAAAUAAGUUUCUUUAAACUUUGAAAUCACGAAUUGUAUCCUUUAAAAGUGAUGAAAGUGAAAGGACUUUUUAAGUUGAAAAAAAAAACUGACUAAUCAUUCAAAUCUUUAUUUGUUACGGAGUCUAUAAAUUAGAAGUGCUCUGGUCAAAUUCUAAAUACUUAACACUAUUUCUGAGCAGUAUAGGUAUAAAAAAACCUAUGUUGGAUCCUUCCUGAAGCAUAACCUAAAACCAGAUCUUCAUUAUCUAAAGGAACUUGGAACAUACUAUAGAAAAAGUUAUUUAGAAAUUUAACCUUCCCAAAUUGAAUCCAUUUUUUGUUCUUUCAUUCCAUCUAAAAUCCCCUUCAAGUAUCAGUUAAUGUAAGAGGAAUGAUAUUAGAAACCUCUUCUUUCUCUUUUUUUUUCACAAAUAAGAAGUUGGGAUACAAUUCGGAUAUCCGAAAGAUUACCAUAUAUAACACAAGAUUUCUCCACCGAUUCUUUCUAGUCGAGCUUCUCGGUCGGUCAUUAUACCCCGAGAAGUAGAAAGAAUUACAAUACCCAUCCCGCCCAAAAUUCUAAGAAUUUUUUAAUAGUUAGAAUAGAUUCGUAGACCAGGUCGGCUAAUCCGUUUUAAAUUUAGACUAGUUCUAUAGGGUCCCUUCCUCUUCCUUCUAUGUCGUAGGGUUAAAACCAAAAAAAAAUUGUUGCCUUCCUAGUGUUUCCUGACAUUUUCAAUAAAACCUUCUCGUAAAAGUAUUUUAAUAAUUUUUUCAGUGAUGUUAGUGAAUGCUAUUCGAAUGGUUCCUUUUCUAUUCAUGUCAGCAUUUCGUAUAGAGGGUAUUAU
rnacentral:lncRNA from 1 species